rnacentral:rRNA from 1 species
UACGUAGGGGGCAAGCGUUAUCCGGAUUUACUGGGCGUAAGAGCGCGUAGGCGGUUGCGUAAGUUGGUUGUGAAAUCCCUCGGCUUAACCGAGGAACUGCCUGCCAGACUGUGAGGCUUGAGACCGGGAGAGGUGAGUGGAAUUCCCAGUGUAGCGGUGAAAUGCGUAGAUAUUGGGAGGAACACCAGUGGCGAAGGCGGCUCACUGGACCGGAACUGACGCUGAGGCGCGAAAGCGUGGGGAGCAAACAGG